GAAAAAAGACAUAUCAGUGAGGAAAAGUCUGGGAUAUAUAUAUAUAUAUAUAUAUAAGCUUACAAGGUUGGAUGACUAGACACAGGGUUAAAAAAGAAUGGUCAAAAUGUGCACACGGGUCACUGGUAAGUGUCAGAAAUGAUUUGGUCACUUUUUUUUUUUUUUUUUUUUUUUUAAUAUCUUCUGCUUCAAAAUGCAUGUUUAUGUUCUUCCUAUGCUUAUGUAUGCAGACAAAUUCAUGUUCUUUUUUCCCCUGAAAAACCCAGAAGAAAUCUACUGAUUUCUCUCAUUUCAUAUGUAAAGAGAGUAUCUCCUCCCCCUUCCCCCACCCCCACUUUUCUCAAGAAGAUAUUCUUCAAUCACCGGAGGUUUUAAUUUGUUGCACUACUUUCUGCUUCCGCAUUAUGUUCACUUUUAGCUACUUGUUGGAAGCCUUUUUUUUUUUCUUUGGUUGGAAGCCUAGGUCUUUGUAAAUAACUUCAUCUCCAAGAAUGUGGUGGCAACCAAUUGUAAACAGGAUCAAUAGUUUGGAUACUUUGUUAUAGGUUCUCAGUUAAUAGGAGAUACUAAUGUCCAGGACUUCGGGUUUUGGGAGGAUAACUAGUAUGUUGAUGUAGGACUGUGUAAUAACUUCAUCAACUUAUUCAGAAAGAGCAUCUUAGGUCUUUUUUCUCUCUUUUGCAACCCCCACUCUGUUCCUUGAGAAUAUGACUCCAAUCUCUUGACAUUAUAUUAUUUAUCUAAAAGUAAUUUAUUAUAUUGCUGUGGUGGUUUGGUUUUUAUGGAGUUUACAGCUGUGUAAAAGUAUUAACAUUGCUGAUCAGGUCAACACUAUGGUGGUUUUGAGGAGUUUAUGUGGGGAAGAAAAAAACCCCAGAGAUGAAGUGAAUUGUUGAUGUUUUUGUUGGAAUUAUCCAAUCAGCUGUUGAGUUGGUUGUUGGUUAAACCUUUUUUUUUUUCCUUUUAUUGCUUAACCCCAGAUGGUUUUACAGCAAUUUGGGCGAGGUUAGUGGGAGAAUCCUUGAAUUCAGUUUUACCUCAGGUUGUUUUCAAGAACAAUAAGAGUUGUCUUUAGUAGGGACAAGACGUAUACCCCCUUCUUAAGAGGUCCAUCCUUAGAAACAUAAUACUUCGACAGCUUAGUACCUGUUUAAUUUUUCAUUAAUGUAGAAAGGACAUCUUGAAUGUGAUGUUUCUGAGUAACGUUGGCUAUUUUAACUCGUCUGCAAAGUAUUGAUAGUUCUGUUAUUUAUUGUAACAGGCAUUUCAUUGAGCAUGGAUCAGUGGAAGGUCCUUCGGGAUCAUGCGGAUGAAAUUGACAAUGCAGUCAUGGAGAAUACUUAGGCAGUAACACAUCUUUUUGUGGGGUGUUCUUGUCACCCUCCAAAGAAACGGGAAAGAAAACUUUUUGAUAGAUCACUAUAAUGUGAAUGUUUUGUGAUCAAGUAGGUAUCUUGACUGGAUUUCUCAAUUAACCAUAGUCAUUUUGGAGGAAGGAUCCAUUUGUUUGUAAUAUUAUAGUUGGAGAAUUUAGUAGUCUUUGCCUGUCUUUGGUAAAAAAUUGGUAACCAUCCUCUAAUUUGAAUCACAUUUCUCA